GUACACUCCUACGGGAGGCAGCAGUGGGGAAUUUUGGACAAUGGGCGAAAGCCUGAUCCAGCAAUGCCGCGUGUGUGAAGAAGGCCUUCGGGUUGUAAAGCACUUUUGUCCGGAAAGAAAUCCUUGGCUCUAAUACAGUCGAGGGAUGACGGUACCGGAAGAAUAAGCACCGGCUAACUACGUGCCAGCAGCCGCGGUAAUACGUAGGGUGCGAGCGUUAAUCGGAAUUACUGGGCGUAAAGCGUGCGCAGGCGGUUUGCUAAGACCGAUGUGAAAUCCCCGGGCUCAACCUGGGAACUGCAUUGGUGACUGGCAGGCUAGAGUAUGGCAGAGGGGGGUAGAAUUCCACGUGUAGCAGUGAAAUGCGUAGAGAUGUGGAGGAAUACCGAUGGCGAAGGCAGCCCCCUGGGCCAAUACUGACGCUCAUGCACGAAAGCGUGGGGAGCAAACAGGAUUAGAUACCCCUGUAGUCCCAUGA
rnacentral:rRNA from 1 species